AUGGCAUGCCUAGUUUGCCACACAUACUGCCAUAAUAACAAUGGUCGGAGCUUCGUCAUCUAUGUCUGUGAUGCCAACGAAAUCUUUCCGACUCUCAUGGAUGCCCACAAGCAGAUUGAACACAAGAUAGAAACUAAAACUGAGGCCUCCUUGAAAGAAGGAGCAUGUCAACAGCCUAAAACUCUAUGCACUCGGAUCCUGGGGAGAAGGCUAAAGCUGAAACAAGAGAUUGGCUUAACAGUGUGCAGUGCACGGGCACUGACAUGGAUGACGAAGGAAGCGAACCCGAGAACGAGAGAAAUGCAGAAGGCAAAGAACAGUGUGUUGAAGAUCCAAAGUUAG
rnacentral:rRNA from 1 species